CUGCGAGUUCGCGGGAGAGUAAGUUAUUGCCAGGGUUUUUAUUUUAUACUUUAAACAUUGAUUUUAUUUUUUAUGUUUUUAGAUGUUCAUGUUAUUGAAUGUUUUAUUUAAAUAAUAUAAGAAAUAAAAUAUAUAUUGACAUGGAUUAAACAAAGAUAUAUAUUAUUCUAUGUUGCAUAAACAAAUUGGCAAAAUAGAGAUGGAAGAUAAAAAUAUGGUCAAAGUAAUAAGAGUCUAUGGUGAAUGCCUAGGA
rnacentral:misc_RNA from 1 species